UCGUAUGGACCACCAUCGGAGACCAACAUCCCAAUACCCAAUCAACAAAAACGACAUACCCAUGCGGAAUGCGUGGAAAACAUAGCAUCACAUGAUUCUUUGCAAUCCGUUUUGCCAGGAGAGGGGUUGAGUCUUGGUUCAUUGCAGGACAGUGAUUGAUAUCGGUCUACUGUAUCAAAUAAGGACUACAUACAUGGUAUUUACAUAAUUCUCCAAAAGUGGAUGACAGUUCUAGUCGAAGCUCAUUUUCAGUUAUUCAGAGGGUUUCGUUGAGCCAUUUGAUUCACCCUUCCCCUUAAAAAACCAAAAGAGAUGUAUAUACCGAUAGACAAGAAUUUCUCUUUGGUGACUGGAAUAGACAAUAACUUAUGAGUUACAUGUUAUACGUUGGGACAAAAAAUGCGAGAAAAAGGUAGAGGGUCGUCAGCAAAAGUUUUACUUGAUCAAGAUUAUUUACUUUAUUACAGUUGAUACAAUAUUUAUUCAAUGAUCAACCAAUAUGUCAGUGUCCGUUUGAAACGAGAUACAGGAUACAGAGCCUCCAAUACCCGACAAUGGUACCAUGCUUUUGUUGAAAAUUAGAUUGCAAAGUGAAAUUUAUUACUAGAUGAAAUUUACAUACACUAGAGUUGUGAGCUGUACAUAUCUUUUAUAAAUCUAUAUAUAUAUAUAUAUAUGAUUUGGGUUAAUCAUCAGAAAAACCUUGUGGAAACAUUGUAAUACAAUAAAAUUUUCUGUUAUAAUGGUGUCAGUGCCCCUUUAACCUUGUAUGAUUUAUGCUCGCACAAACAAAGAUGUAUCAAAAGUCAGAAAUGAGAUUUUUCAAUUUGACGAUUAACGGAUAUAAUUUUAUUUGAUGAACGAUUUGACUGAGCGAUAGUCGAUUUCUUAAAUUAUACAAAAUAUGCUUGCUAAACACAAAUGGCCCCUAAACCUUGCUAAAUUUUGUCAAAUUGUUCAUAGACAUGCAUUUUUGUAAUAUCUUUUUAAUAUUGAGAUAUUACACUAUGUGAUAAAAAUUAUAUCUAC
rnacentral:misc_RNA from 1 species